AUGUUCCUGUUUGUCAUCUCAGUACUGGAGAUAAUUUCCCUGAGAGAUGCCAAGGCCCAGUCAGUGACCCAGCUGAAUGCUCAUCUCUCGGUCUCUGAAGGAAACUCAGUGGAGCUGAAGUGCAACUAUUCAUAUGGUGCAACUCCUAAUCGCUACUGGUUCGUCCAAUACCCCAACCAAGGCCUCCAGCUUCUCGUGAAGUCCUUAUCACUGGAGCCCCUGGUAAAAGGCAUUAAAGAUUUUGAAGCUGAAUUUAGGAAAAAUGACUCUUCUUUUAACCUGAAAAAGUCCUCAGCCCACUGGAGCGACUCGGCCCGGUACUUCUGUGCUGUGAGUGACACAGUGACUGAGGCUGCAGGGGGAGCUGAGCACAAACCACCCAUCGUGGAGUUUUUGACUCAAGAUCUCCUCCUCUGGUACUUUAAAACAUCUCUUGCUUUUUGA